AAUGAGUUUUCAUCAUUCUGCCUUAUCAAAAUGUGUAAAUGAGGAUUCCAAUGAGCCAUUCCAUUUGGCUGAUGUGGUAGGCUGGUGCCAAACAUUUGGAAGAAGUACAAGAAGAAAGAGAGAAGGAAAGACGGAGAGAAAGACAGAGAGAUGGAGAAUAGAAGAAAAUAUAAUUAUGCUUUGGUAAAUAAUAAAACAUUUAUGGUAAUAUGUAGAAUUAUCA
rnacentral:lncRNA from 1 species